UGAGGAAUAUUGGUCAAUGGGCGCGAGCCUGAACCAGCCAAGUAGCGUGCAGGAAGACGGCCCUAUGGGUUGUAAACUGCUUUUGAAGGGGAAUAACGUGCGCCACGUGUUGGUGCAGUGCAUGUACCUUUCGAAUAAGGAUCGGCUAACUCCGUGCCAGCAGCCGCGGUAAUACGGAGGAUCCGAGCGUUAUCCGGAUUUAUUGGGUUUAAAGGGUGCGUAGGCGGAUGAUUAAGUCAGCUGUGAAAUACCGUCGCUCAACGGCGGCACUGCAGUUGAAACUGGUUGUCUUGAGAGUGCAAGAGGCAUGCGGAAUUCAUGGUGUAGCGGUGAAAUGCAUAGAUAUCAUGAAGAACCCCGAUUGCGAAAGCAGCAUGCUGGGGCAUAUCUGACGCUGAGUCACGAAAGUGCGGGUAUCAAACAGGAUUAGAUACCCUGGUAGUCCGCACAGUAAACGAUGAAUACUAGCUGUAGGCGAUAGACGGUCUGCGGCGCAAGCGAAAGCGUUAAGUAUUCCACCUGGGGAGUACGCCGGCAACGGUG
rnacentral:rRNA from 1 species